rnacentral:lncRNA from 1 species
GACAAUUAACUUUGGGAUAUAUUUUCCAACAACCCCCACUCGAUCAGAAAUCCCUAUAAGAUCAGGGAGGAUAUAAAGAAAAACUAACUCUUUUACUCAUGAAAGAGGAAGGGCAAAAAAGAAAGAUGGUGAUAUCUUUUUGAAGGAAAGUGUACCACCAAUCUCUACUCUGAGGAUGUGUCUUCUUCUAAAAGAAUGCUCGAAACAUCUCAUAUGGAGAGGUAUUCCCC